rnacentral:rRNA from 1 species
GUGGGGAAUAUUGGACAAUGGGCGUAAGCCUGAUCCAGCCAUACCGCGUGGGUGAAGAAGGCCUUCGGGUUGUAAAGCCCUUUUGUUGGGAAAGAAAUCCUGUCGGUUAAUACCUGGCGGGGAUGACGGUACCCAAAGAAUAAGCACCGGCUAACUUCGUGCCAGCAGCCGCGGUAAUACGAAGGGUGCAAGCGUUACUCGGAAUUACUGGGCGUAAGGCGUGCGUAGGUGGUGGUUUAAGUCCGUUGUGAAAGCCCUGGGCUCAACCUGGGAAUUGCAGUGGAUACUGGAUCACUAGAGUGUGGUAGAGGGAUGCGGAAUUUCUGGUGUAGCAGUGAAAUGCGUAGAGAUCAGAAGGAACAUCCGUGGCGAAGGCGGCAUCCUGGGCCAACACUGACACUGAGGCACGAAAGCGUGGGGAGCAAACAGGAUUAGAUACCCGGGUAGUCC